UACAGAGGGGGCAAGCGUUGUUCGGAAUUACUGGGCGUAAAGGGCGCGUAGGCGGCCUGCUAAGUCAUACGUGAAAUCCCAUGGCUCAACCAUGGAACUGCGUGUGAUACUGGCGGGCUUGAAUUCGGGAGAGGGAUGCGGAAUUCCAGGUGUAGCGGUGAAAUGCGUAGAUAUCGGGAGGAACACCAGUGGCGAAGGCGACUUCCUGGCCUGUUCUUGACGCUGAGGCGCGAAAGCUAGGGGAGCAAACGGG
rnacentral:rRNA from 1 species